CGGGGACGGGGUGAGGAGCAGCGCGCGCGCGAGGUGUAAGGGGGGGGGCGGGGAUUGGUUGCCAUGGCAGUGACGUCAAAGAGUGCCGGGGACAGGGAGCGGAGACACGGAAAAGUGCUGGAGUGGGGUUCUGUGCUUUACGUGCCCCAGGGCAUGGCUCAAUCUAGCAAACCCUGGAGUGAAGCUGCUAUCAGCGUGUGGAGACUGAGUGCCACCGACAGCCUGUUGUCUGUUCGUGCUCAGAGAGUUAUGUGGAAGGACAGGAGUGACUCAGUAAUAGGAAGUAUUAGUUGCACUGAGGCAAAACCAGGUGAAGUUAUUACUUGGUUACUCUGUUACCUUGGGUCAUUGUUUUGCAUCAGUCCACUGUUUGCUUAUGAAUCAGAAAUAGUAGUGCUUUCCAAAAACAUACUGUGAAUAAACACUAAUGAGCUCAAAAUGCUUAUCAGCUGUAGUAAUAACAGGUAGAUGUGUUGUUUCUCUAUAGUGGCAUAGACAGUGCAGCCAGGAUUGUUUUGCUUGCAAGCUCUUCCUGUGGCAGUAACUUUGCACAGAAGUAGACUUUUGCUUCAAAAGACAUUUUAUAACUCAUGAUACUGUGUGAUAUGCAAUGUUAGAAACAUAGAAUCAUGGAAUGACUUAGGUUGGAAGGGACUUUAAGGGUUAUUGAAUUCCAACCCCCUCCUGCGGGCUGUGUUAAGUCAUAUUUCGUAUUUUUAUGCAGAAAGUUCUCUAAUACGCUUUUAAAUAACCGCCAUUCCACAGUGCAAAUAGUUUGGGGUUUUUUCUCCUGUGUUCUUAAAACAGCACCAGUACUGCUAAGGAAGCAGUGUCUGGUUGUCUCUGGGUGAGGUGAUAGACUGAGGCUUUUGAUAUGGAGUUGGAAGAGAGAAGUUCCAGUAUAUCUGCUCACAUCUUGGCGUGAUCAAGAAAUUACUUGGAACUGGUUUGUAACUCACUGUGCCACCACACAGCUAUACUUGCCAGGGUUGAGUAGUAUUGUUUACGAGGUGCUGUCUGGAGAUGCCUCUGUAUUUGCAAGAAAAUACUGAAGCAGGUGACAGUAAGUUCAUUACAACGAGCUGAGCAGUUUAGGAAACAGCAUUUUUAUUCUCACAUUAUAAGGUGAUCUACAUAGAAAAUCAAAUGCCUUAAGUAUGCCACUGGCAAGCACUUCAAUAGAGGAAUCUGAAAACUCCAUAGGAGUUGCCCGGAGUGGUUUGUGCCGCUCUCAAGAGCAGUGCUGCCACCACCAUAGCAGGUGAGCUGGAGCUGCUGCUCUCAGGAGUACUGAGCAGAGUUGGCUGAGUUUUCCUCUGCACUUUUGCUUUAUGCAAAUCAGAGCAGGUAGCUCGCUUGUCUGGUGUUCUUUGAGUUUGUUUUUGUUUAUUUUUUUGUUUUUCUGAUCUAUUCUAGAAAGAUACACCACAAAGAAGCACCAACUGCCUGGUAUCUUUAAGCUUUGCUUCUGAGAGUAUUUUGUUCUGUAGUUUAUCACUUGCCUGCUCAAGUUUGUUUGGAACUUCCAUACUGCUAAAUAGGACAACUGUUCUGUGUGAGGAGGAGGUGAGCACAACAGAAGACUUUUGUCUUCGGUUUUAACAACAAAACUGAAAGUUGCUCUGGCAAAAUGGCAAUUCAUUGUUAAUUCAUGAGAUGUAGGUGCUCUGGAAAAAUCAAAUACCAGUUUCAUAGCUACCCUUAGGCAUCUCUAAUUUAUGCAAGCAGGGCUUGCCAAGUAACUACUGAGUCUCACUGACCUUAGUAGGUUUGCAGAGGUCAUAUUUUAACACAGAUAAGUUAUGCUUGAACUAUUUUCUCAGUAGGUAUUAGGAGCAAGUGUUUGUGUACACAAUUACAUGCUUUUUGCCAAUCCUCCAUUACAUUUUCUGUUUUUCUUUAGAUUCUUGCUUGUAAGUUCUACAGUAAAUCCUAGAGUUUUUUUUUGUGUUUUUUCUUAAUCUGUUAUCUUAAGUAAGAAACGUGAGUUUUUGAGGACAGCUUCUUUUUUGGGGUCUCAGUAAAACAGAACAAACAAAGGUUUCAUAGACCGCCAGAAAGGCAGUUGUAGGAUCAGGGAAAGUCGGGGUAUGGGAAGCCAGAACAGCCCAAACGUGUGAGUGACAUCAGCAUUUUUCUGAGCCGUUUAUGCUGCUCACUUCUGUCGGUUCCCAGCAGUGCCUGUGUCUUAUGUAAGCUCGCACUGUACAUCCUGUCCUGCUGUUCUCAUGCAUGAAAAUCAUUGGUGUUAUCUUACUGUACGUUUUGAGAGCUGAGCAGUUACUGGCUACUUGUUGUCUCAAAUGUCUGCAUGCAAAUCUCUCACAAGCAUGCUGGAGAGAGCUAUGCCAAGAGCAUGGUGCUGUCCUCCUAGGAGACAUCAGAGGGGUAAGUUGUAGUAAACGCCGCUCGCUCGUCCUUUGCUCUUUCUGGUAAUAGGCACUAUGAAGUAAUGCAGCUACAGAGGUAAUUGUGCUGCUACAGUCUGAAGUGCUGAUCUGUGUCACGUGCAGAUGGACCACUAAUGCAGUUUCAAUGGCUGGUGAUAAAACAGACAUGGAAAACAAAGGACAGUGGUUUCAACAGAAGCUUUAAUGAUGUUAGGACUGGAAAAGAGAGGCUUUUAUAUACUCUUACUGUGCACUGCUUGUUACGGGUCUUGGAAAGAAACUGUGCCUUCAGAUGGACUGAUGCUUUACCCUUGUUCCUGUAGUUAGCAUUUAGUGAUGCAUAAUGAAGGUACUGUCACUCAAUGGGUGAAAUUGGAGCAAACCUUCCAUUACAAGGCUUCAGAAACAAACAUUCCCUCUAUUUUUUUUCUUGCUAAAUCUAUCUGAAAUCGUCAGGCGUAAAAUCCUGCAGUAAUGUGAUCUGUUAAUGCAAAGUAAGUAACUUGGCCACCUUGUUUAAACGCUACCCAGUGCUUCAGUUACGAAGCAAAACUACCUCUGCUUCUUAAAUACUCUUGUCUCUUCUGUUUGUGCUCCUGCAGUAUGAAGGAGACAAGUUUCUGCUCCUCUGCUCUGGUGAAUGCGAUUGUGUGGCACUGUGGCUUGUUUUGGGGGAGCUGUGUUUGAAGGGCUGUAGAGUUUGUUACAAGCUCUGAUAGGAAAGGCUGACUGGCAGGAGAAGUGCACCUGGGUAGGAGUGCGUUUGUGGAAAGGCCUUGGAAGGAAUGAAAGAAUCUUUCUUGUGGCUUCCCAGUGUGAUCCGUUCCAUGCCGCACGAAACAAUUCCUCAUUGUGCUGGAGUGUAAGACUUAACAAGGAAACUGGCCAUCUGAAGAGGAACAGGUGCAAUGCCCUGACGCUUAGAAGCUAACCAGAUUCCUGAGUGAGCAGAUCUUGCAGAAUUUAAGGAAACUUAUUGGCAGAACAUCUAAGAAGGACUUGAAUUUUUGUUUUGAGUAGGGAAUUGAAUGAUCUCUGCUGCCUUUCACACAAAUCUAGGAAUGCAGUGGCUCUAUUUAGUGCUUUUGUUAUUUUCUUGAAGAUAUAGAAAUAUGUUUCAAAAGCAUAUGCAGGAAGAUGGAGUUGCAGCAGCCAUAAGAACUUGUAAGAAAGCACCUGCACGUUGUGCAUUUGGGAUUCCGUGGCAUUAUAUUUUAUUGCUUUACAGAUGCUUACGUGACUAUCAGAAUCCACAUCUAUGUUGUCCAUAUUCAAUAGCCUUUUCAUUUUGUUGAUGUGGACAGAAUCUAUUCAGGAUGCUUAAAUCUGCUAAAAUAUUUAUAAGAAAGUUGGCCCUUGGAGCAUGUUUCCCACAGGAUGCAGUGGGUGUCGGGGCUAAAGGUCAGUGCAGACGAAGUAAAGUGAAAGCUCUUUUGCAUUUAUUUUCCUACUUUUUUUUCUUAAUUUUCUUUUGAAAGAGAAUUCUCUGUGUUAAGAAGCACAGAACUUUCCUUUGCUACUUCCUACGUUUCCAUACACUAAGAAGCAGGAAUGGACCUGUAAAUACUUAAGCCUUUUAUUGAAACUUUGCUCCCUUUCUUUAGGAGAGCGGGGAAAAAAAAUGAAACCAACAACCCCAAAUCAGUGCAGUUAAUGUAGUCAUGGGCUCUGAGCAUGGAAGUUCCCGGUGUAAAGGAAAAAAGCCAGAUGGAGUUUUAAGUGACUGUCAUGUACCACUUAAGAAACGCACAUUCCUGAUACUAAUAAAAGGGCCAGAUUGGAGCUACAUAAUUAAUCCCAGUGUCCUUUUCAGCACAUGAUAAGAUUUGGCUACAGCAGUCAUAGAGCUAAUGGAGACAACUGUCAGGUUCUACAAAGCAGUGGAUUGUUUGCCUAAAAUAAAAAUACCUAUGUGAUUAUUCUUGUACAUAUAUUUGUAUCUGCUGGUGAUUAGUACUUAUGUCCCAGUUCAAAUGGAAGAUAAAUGGAGCUGAUUUGCUUUUGAAUCCCCUUACUGCCUUAAGUAUCUGUAUAAAUAUAUACACCAGAUAUGUCUGUAAAUAAAUUAUUCCUAUUCAAUAUAUAUUUAAGAUGGGAAGUAAAUGUUUUUUAUUAUUUUCUUUAGGAGUUAGGUGGCAAAACUUGCUCUCCUUUGGAGUCCAUUUGAAAUAUAGUGACUGAUGAAGGCCAAGGAGCAAUUCUGCAAUUGUUUAUUCACUGUAUGUGUCCAUGACCUGGAAGAAGCGUGCAGGAAUGGGCUAAAGCAGAGAUGCUUCUGAGAUGGCACAAAGUGUGUGUUGGAGGCAGACAGGAGGAGUGGGCAGAUGGCAGUCAGAACAAAACAGGGAGUUCAAUAACUUGGGACAGCACUGAGCUGCUCUAUCUGGAGAACACCCUUCUAACCAUAAAGGGGAGCUGCUCUGUCUAAGAUUGAGUGUAAGACAUAAAUGAUCCUCCAAAGAAGCUUUUCUCAAAAAAAAAAAGAGCUUAUUUUCUGAAGACAACUUUGUCACUUGAACUAGAGAUGCUUCUUACCUUGACUGAAAAGGCAGACUAUGGGCACAAACUGGAAGACUCCUCAAGGUAAAACAGGAACAUGUCAUGUGGAGAUACCUGUAUCCUAUUUAAAAUGAUUUGUUUUAAUACUUUGUAGUAAAGUGUCUCCAGGACUCUACCCAUAGAUUAGCCAACCUGGUUUUGGUGCAGCUUUUUCCAGGGAAUAAGACUAAAAUUCCUUUCCUGUAGGAGAAACCAAAUUAGAGUUGAAUAGAGGAAGCUAUAAAAUCAGACCUAUUUACUGCAGGCAGCAAUAUUUGAGUUAAAUGUUAAACUCACUGAAUUAGUGUAAUCAACAUUUGACACCUCAGAAGAGGUAAUACUACUGUGGGAAUGAGGAAGGGCAUCAGCUAUUUGUGUGAUAUCAGACCUAAUAUGUAGCAUGUAUUCAUAUUUCUCCUUAAUUUGGAGAUCCAGGUAUUCAUCUUUCUCUUGUGGUCAGUGCAUGUUGCUGUAUCUCCUCUGCUGAAAAAGCAAAAAUUGCAGGGAAAAAAAAAUUCCAAAAAUAUAUGGCUAUACAUUAUACAGCAACAAUCUGUUAGAAGCCUAUUCUCAGAGAAGGCAAAAAUAUAGCUAAGGAUGCUAAUACUCUUCCUUCCUUUUUCUGUUCUGAUUGCAGGUAAGUCUACUGGUGGGGGUUUUUAUGAGGUGAGGGUAAUACAUUAUGACAAAUUGUUAGUGACAGAUGGAUUUUUUUUACUUAGCUUACUUCUAAAGCAAAAUGAUCUGGAUUAGCCACUUCCUGCCCCCCGAGGUGGCUGCACAACUUCUCAGGUUACCUAAAUUAAAGACUUAAUUUGACUCAGUAAGUUACUCUAUCAGGUUGAGAGCCAAGAAGGUGUUUUAUAAAUACAUGAUUUCUGCAUGCUGAGCAGUGUUGUUCAGUCAGAGGGAAGAGGAGAAUGGGGGGGGGGAGUCUUUAAUUGCUGCCUUCAGUUACCUAAUGGAUCAUGACAAGAAACCAGCUCUUUCUUGGUGUUGUGCAGCAAAAGGGUGAGAAGCACUGGGCACAAGAUGCAGCAAAGGAAAUUCCAGAUAGGUGUAAGGCAGAAGAAAAAAGUUAGACCUGUAGCUACACAGACGUGACUAGAUUGCUUGUAGAAGCUAUGAAAUAUCUUUGCUUGGGGAUGCUCAGAUUUUGAGCAGGGAGUUUGCUGUAGGUGAUUUCCAGAGAGCCUUCCAGAGGUCAUUUCCACUGUAAGAUGUUUUUGGUUUCCAUUUGGUGAUUAGUUCACGACUUUUCUUCACCGAGAAGGCUUAUCGUUCUGAGCUGUCUUUCUGAUCUUCGAUGGUAAUCACUUUUCAUGUCUCAUUUGUUAAAAUUAUGCUCACUAGAGUCAGAAAUGGUGUCUGUGGAGACAGUGCUUUUGUAAAGCAUGUAUUAACUGAAAGGUUCUGACUGCAUGUCUGUUUUACUGUAUUUGUCCAAGUAAAGACUUCCAAAAGUGAAACCAGCUUUGAAGGUUCUCUUACAGUGCUGUUUUUGGUGCUGUUUUUUCAACUUCAGUUAAUUUUAUGUAUUUACAGUUCACAGGACUAAUACUCAGCAGAAUAUUUUGGAGCAGAGUGAGCUAAGAAGUUGAAGACAGGUUGUAUUCUCUUUAAGAGAAAAAUUCUAGGGUGUGAACUUUGAUGCAGAUGUGCAACUUAAUGGUGUAUUCAAUUUCUGCCUACUGUUCCUUUGUUUUAAACUGCUUAUUUAAAAGCAUAAGAACACCCCUUCCUCUUUCUGUGUUUGACCCCCAGCAUUCUGCAUGCUCAGUAUACUCCAGCUAAUACUGAGAUUAUUUGGAUUGCAGGUGAAUGUCUGCUUUUUCAUGGGCUUUGGAGAAGGACAGUGAGCAGCCUUUGUAGUUGCUACUCCUGUAUAUUUUUGGGAAAUAAUGCAAGAAAUGAAUAGGGGCCAGUUUUGUCUUGCAUGCUGUGUCUGUUCUUGAGUUUGUUAGAUUGUAGUCAUUCUCUCUGAUGCAGUUCUAGAUUGAUGGUCAAUUAUUUUUACCUCGUAAACCUCCAUUCUUUGAAACGAGUGAAUCAUGGGCCAGAGUGUGUAGGACAGCUUUUUUCUUAUGCUUAGUCACAGGAGACUAAGCUUACAGUUUUAUUCUAACUUAGCUCCCCAAGAUAUGCAGAGCAACUGGGUGGAUGCUGUUCUUAAUUAUGAUCUGAACUUUAUUUUGGCUCGCACCAUCACUGUUUCAUUGUUUAUCUUCCUUUGGUAAGAUGAGAACAGUAUCUUAUGACAAAAACAUUUAGUUGUUUGGUUUUCUGUAAUGGUUAUGUAUGACAUUUGCAUCCUCACUGAAAUUUGGGCUUAGAUAUGUUAAUAGUGUACUGUUUUACACAUUCCCAUGCAUUCUUAAAAUAUGAGAUGCUUUUUUUGACAGCUCAAUUUAAAACUUUUUACUUCCUACACAGUGAAACUGUCAGUUUUAGUGUUUGCACAUAUGUAUAUAUUUAGUGUAUCCUUCUAGUAUUUGAAGAGAGCUUCUAAGCAGGAAGGGGAGUGACUUUUUACAUGGUCUGAUAGUGAUAGCUCAAGGGAGAAUGGCUUUAAACUAAAGGAGCGGAGAUUUAGGUUAGAUGUUGUGGAAAAAAAAUCCUUUCUCAGAGGAUGGUGAGGCACAGGAGCAGGAUGCCCACAGACAUUGUGGCUGCCCCAUCCUGGUGGUGUUCAAGGCUGAGUUGGAUGGGGCCCUGGGCAGCUUGAUCCAGUGAGUGGCAACCGUACGCGUGGCACAGAGUUGGAGCUUGGUUAUCUUUAAGGUUCCUUCCAAUGUAAGCCAUUCUGUGAUUAGUGAUUGUAAGAAGCAGAGCGUGUGGUUUCCUGAAAAUAUACAGGAAAUGCAGUUCUAAAACUACUUACAUAUGCUUCCUACUUCAUAAUUCAUUGUGCACUGUAAACUUCUAAUGCUAUAGCGAACUCUGUGGCUGUUAAAUGAUCAGACUGCCCUAUGUUAGGGCAGAUUGUAAUCUAUCUGAAUCACUGCGUGACAUUUAUGCUGUUGAAAUUGAAUUGGACUAUGUGAGAGCUGAAAGCUAUGGCACUUUAAAUUCAGCACUGAUUCAGACACUGUGUUUUACUCGGGGCAAAUAACUUAAUGUCUAAUACUCAGUUAUGUUCUGGUCAGUAGACGUGACUUAAAAUAAUUGGAGCAAUAGCAGGGAUCUGCUUUAACUUUCUUUUUCAGUUAGCUAUUUGUGCAUGAGAACUGAGACUUCUAAUUCACUGAGUAAUUGUAAUCAUGCUGAUCAUGGAAUGAGGAUAUCUUAAGAUAUGGGAAGAAAAUAAGCUCUGUGGGAAAUACAUAAGCUCUCUUUAGCUUCCUUGUUCCCCUGCAUCUUCCUUUCCCUUAUUGCUUUCCUUCUUCCCAUCUUGUUUAACUUUCUGAUCACAGUGCAGUCCAAGCUCAGUGUGACUGAUAAAAUAAUAUGUGGCACUUGGGAAAACUGCAGUACCUCUCUGUGACCUGUGUGGCUUGGGUUUGGAAACUGAAAGAGCACAAACUUCAGGUAUCACAGCAGUGCCCUUUUUGUUGGUGUUAAACCUCUUGGUGAAUCCCUUGUACUGACAGCUUAAGAGCCAGAUUGGUAAAUGUUGUGUGUCAGGAACAGUUUAUGUAGUUUAAAGAUUCACAUGGUUCUUCACAUUUUCUGUAUGAGGAAUUUGAAGGGGAAUUCACACUGCAAGAAAUGCUACAUUCAUUGUUGUUCUUCAGCAAAUACAGUUAACAGCAUUAAUGGAAGCCAGCAAUCAAUGUCCUUCUGUUUGCAGUGACGUUAGAAUAAGUCCUGGUUCUGUGCUUUUAAGCUUUAGCAGGGUUAGAGGACAGAACCUUUGACAAAAGCCGGAGUGUGGUGUCUUUUUGUAUUUGUUUGUAAGUGUUCAGGAGAAUAGCAGAAGAUGCUUAAUCUUCAGUUUUCAUAGAAGAACUUUUAUGGAAGUUCUAUCCUUCAAAAGCGUAGUUGCACGGAACUACACUGCAGAUAUAUUUUCUUAAUGUUUUUGGAUGGAGCUGAAAAUGUAACUCCUUUGUACAAACAUGAUCACACUGUUAGAUGUUGUGCUGGGGUUGGUAGCUGACAGUUUGAUAAAACAGCAAGAGACUUCACUGUCAUUUGUAUUGUUUUUUUUGUGAUGAUCUGAGUGUUAAAAUGAAGCUGGAGGGAGUGUCCUCUCUUUAGGCAGGUGACAUUGUGGUAACCUUCAUUACUUCCUUAAGAAGCAAGUGUUGAAGGAGAGCAGCACAAGAAAUGGUUCACUGCAGCAUAAUGCUUAGCAGCCUAAUUAGUCGAAUACCAUGUGCCUACCUCUGCAUGAAAUAACCCAUUUCUUCACAAGGUAAAAUAGGAAUUUUCAGUUUUGGAACAGCCUGAAGAGGCCUUUGUUGCAAAUGUCCGUUGGCUUUUUAACUAUUUAUUCUCAAAUAAUGAAGGUCAGCAUGGUAUCCAUAGAGACUGCAUGCAGCUUCCUCGUUAAUCUUGGCAAACUCCUGUAAUAACUACAUUCACUUAAUACUAACAAGUGUUCACAUUUCAUUAAUGGGAGAACAGUAUGGGAUUGACAUUCUGUAACUGAGAAAUCUUGAAUGUGUAGUUUUUCUUCUUUAAACUCUGUUAGAAUUUCCCUUUACGAGUUGCCUUGGAGGCCUGAACAGCCUCAGAACAAGCAACUUUUAAAUUGCAGGAGUCUGCGUAUUUCCUGGAAGCAGAAAACUUCUUACUGGCUAAGCCUUUUCUUUCUGAAAGGAUCAAGAAUGAUAAACAAGGAUAAAUGGGUCUGCUUUCAGCUCUGUUAGUAAAAGGAAAGUUUUCUGCUAUGAACUAGAAUAUAAAGGCAUUGAAGUAUUAUGUAAAUAUGAUCAAGCUAGAAUGAUAAGAUUUAAAAAAAUAACCUCAUGCAGACUCUCCACCUCUGCUUUUUUUCUUCCUUUUUCUUUAACCAAGAAUGGGAGAAUUUUUGUAUCACCAGAACACUGCUGAAGUCCUUUGUAUUUGACUGUCAGAUUACUUCUGUGCAGAAAAUUCUAAUCAGAGUGUUAAUAUGAAAUAACUGAGUGCUGUAUGCUUAAUAAUGACUUUGAUUUAAAUUAAAUUUUGUUCUUGAAUAGUAUUUUGUCAUUUAAAUACUUUUAAUAUUGAAAGGGUUCUUUUAACUGAGAAGAAAGAAAUAGACUGCAUCAGAACAGAAUGCAGUCUUGUGGGACUUCUGGUACUGAGUUGCUGAAGGGGGGGAAGUAAAAUGGUUCCAUCCAGAGGCUGUUAUUGUUUUAUUCCCACCCUGACACUUUUAAUGCUUACCCCAGGAUAUAUAUAUAUAGAGAGAGAGAGUAACAGAGCCUUAAACUGAUGCUGAGAAAUAUACAUAUUUUUUCAGAAUUCUGCCAGGUUUAUUUCUAAGAUUUCCUUCAUUAUGAGCUUGUUUUCCUAAAUUAUACAUUCUUAUUUAGAAACAUAAGUAACUGUGAAAGAGUAGAUAGUGUGGAUGCUUAGAAUGGAACUCCAUUUAUUUUUUUUGAGAGUUCUGGUAAUGAAGGUAUAGGAAAGUAAAAUGUAUGUAUGAAUGUAUUUGAACCUGAAGAGGUUUAAAAAUGUGCAUUUUAAAACUUGAGUACGUAUAUUCCCAUGUCUUGCAUUUAGAAACAUUAAAUUAUGUUAAAUCUACAAUUGUGGUGUUUUUGUAUCAAUGCUUGUUUUAAGUGAAACUGAAAAUGAGAUUUUCUUCAGAAUUAGUGGAAUGGUAAUUGAUUGGAAUGUCACAGAAAUGUCAUAAAUCUUUUUCUUUUCCCCCUCCCCUAAAGGUGACCGACUACUUUGUACUGCUGGACACCUGCAGUGAUGU
rnacentral:lncRNA from 1 species